GCCCCUUUGGUCUAGGGGUAUGAUUCUCGCUUCGGGUGCGAGAGGUCCCGGGUUCAAAUCUCGGACGGGCCC
rnacentral:tRNA from 1 species